GAUGAACGCUGGCGGCGUGCUUAACACAUGCAAGUCGAACGAUGAAGCCCAGCUUGCUGGGUGGAUUAGUGGCGAACGGGUGAGUAACACGUGAGUAACCUGCCCUCAACUCUGGGAUAAGCCUGGGAAACGGGGUCUAAUACCGGAUAGGAGCGCCUACCGCAGGGUGGGUGUUGGAAAGAUUUCGCGGUUUUGGCUGGGCUCGCGGCCUAUCAGCUUGUGGGUGGGGGACUGGCUCACCAAGGCGACGACGGGUAGCCGGCCUGAGAGGGUGACCGGCCACACUGCGACUGCGACACGGCCCAGUCUCCUACGGGAGGCAGCAGUGGGGAGUCUUGCCCAAUGGGCGCACGCCUGAUGCAGAGACGCCGCGUGAGUGAUGCCGGCCUUCGGGUUGUAAACCUCUUUCAGUAGGGACGAAGCGAAAGUGACGGUACCUGAAGAAGAAGCACCGGCUAACUACGUG
rnacentral:rRNA from 1 species